UUUCCGAACUUGAAGAGUGGAACUCUUCCCAAUAUAUCCUGAAGUCCAAUUCCAGUUCCCGUUUGCCUCUGUUUUCAAGGUCAGAGAGGGAGGGUAAAAGA